rnacentral:rRNA from 1 species
UAGGGAAUCUUCCGCAAUGGGCGAAAGCCUGACGGAGCAACGCCGCGUGAGUGAAGAAGGAUUUCGGUUCGUAAAGCUCUGUUGUUAGGGAAGAAUGAUUGUGUAGUAACUAUACACAGUAGAGACGGUACCUAACCAGAAAGCCACGGCUAACUACGUGCCAGCAGCCGCGGUAAUACGUAGGUGGCAAGCGUUGUCCGGAAUUAUUGGGCGUAAAGCGCGCGCAGGUGGUUUAAUAAGUCUGAUGUGAAAGCCCCCGGCUCAACCGUGGAGGGUCAUUGGAAACUGUUAAACUUGAGUGCAGGAGAGAAAAGUGGAAUUCCUAGUGUAGCGGUGAAAUGCGUAGAGAUUAGGAGGAACACCAGUGGCGAAGGCGGCUUUUUGGCCUGUAACUGACACUGAGGCGCGAAAGCGUGGGGAGCAAACAGGAUUAGAUACCCUGGUAGUCCACACCGUNNCGAUGAAUACUAGGUGUUAGGAGGUUUCCGCCUCUUAGUGCCGAAGCUAACGCAUUAAGUAUUCCGCCUGGGGAGUACGACCGCAAGGUUG